rnacentral:rRNA from 1 species
GGGGAAUAUUGCACAAUGGGGGAAACCCUGAUGCAGCGACGCCGCGUGGAGGAAGAAGGUCUUCGGAUUGUAAACUCCUGUUGUUGAGGAAGAUAAUGACGGUACUCAACAAGGAAGUGACGGCUAACUACGUGCCAGCAGCCGCGGUAAAACGUAGGUCACAGGCGUUGCCCGGAAUUACUGGGUGUAAAGGGAGCGCAGGCGGGCGAUCAAGAUGGAAGUGAAAUCCAUGGGCUCAACCCAUGAACUGCUUUCAAAACUGAUUGUCUUGAGUAGUGCAGAGGUAGGCGGAAUUCCCGGUGUAGCGGUGGAAUGCGUAGAUAUCGGGAGGAACACCAGUGGCGAAGGCGGCCUACUGGGCACCAACUGACGCUGAGGCUCGAAAGUGUGGGUAGCAAAC